rnacentral:rRNA from 1 species
AGUGAACGCUGGCGGUAGGCCUAACACAUGCAAGUCGAACGGCAGCACAGUAAGAGCUUGCUCUUACGGGUGGCGAGUGGCGGACGGGUGAGGAAUACAUCGGAAUCUACUUUUUCGUGGGGGAUAACGUAGGGAAACUUACGCUAAUACCGCAUACGAUCUACGGGUGAAAGCAGGGGAUCUUCGGACCUUGCGCGAUUGAAUGAGCCGAUGUCGGAUUAGCUAGUUGGCGGGGUAAAGGCCCACCAAGGCGACGAUCCGUAGCUGGUCUGAGAGGAUGAUCAGCCACACUGGAACUGAGACACGGUCCAGACUCCUACGGGAGGCAGCAGUAGGGAAUAUUGGACAAUGGGCGCAAGCCUGAUCCAGCCAUACCGCGUGGGUGAAGAAGGCCUUCGGAUUGUAAAGCCCUUUUGUUGGGAAAGAAAAGCAGCAGGUUAAAACCCCGCUGUUCUGACGGUACCCAAAGAGUAAGCACCGGCUAACUACGUG